AGAAGCCUGGUGUGCUGCAGCUUAUAGGGUCACAAAGAGUUGGACACGACUUAACAACUGAACAACAAUACAUACGUAAAAGUGCACAAGUAGUCGGUGCCACAGAUUUUUACAAGAUGCCCGAACCCAGCAGCUGGAUCAAGAAACAGGUCACUUCCAACAAGCCUCUCUUCUGCCUUCCUUCAAGUCAUUACUCUCCCAUCCCUCCAACCAUUAUAUUCCUUUAUACUCCUGUCUCCUUUUUUGUUGGGGGUGAUAGGUUUAUGUGUAUGUGUAGUAUUUGGUUGUGUGUGUGUGUGUGUGUGUAUGUGUAGUAUUUGGUUACAAGCAUGUGCUUUGGAGACAGGCUGGGCUGCCUGGGUUGAAAUCCUGCUGUACCUUUUACAAACUAUAUAUCGUUGGGCAACUUACUUGCCCUAGGACUCAGCUUUCUCAACUUUACAAUGGGAAUAUUAACAGAACCUACCUUGAAAGAUCGCAGUAAAGAUUACGUGCUGUGGCUCAUUUAAAGAGCUUAGGUCAAGGUAGAUAGAGAAGUUCAGAGUAAGCCCUCAGAAAACACUGGCUAUUUUUGUUGGAUACUUCUCCCUUCUCAGAGACUGUUUAUGGAAAACCAAGAAGGUUCAAAGACUGUAGAGCAAGGGAGAGGAAAAGAGAGGAAUUCCAACCAAGCACGUGCUGUCUGUUAUAUAUCUCUAGGUUGCGGAGAGGAUCAGAGGUGAGCAGGUGGAAGAAGAGCUAAACCAAACAGUUCUCCAGUCAUACAGAAUCAAGUGUUUAGAGUAAAACUGAUAUUUGAAACAUUAUAUAUUUUCUCUUCAGUCCUAUAUAUGCUUCCUACUUGUGAAAGUAUAAUAGAAAUGCUUUUUGAGACCAUCCAUGAACUUUCUGUGACUCCCAGUGGUCCAGAAUUGAAUGCAUAUUUUAAAAUUUCCUACAAUAGAAAAAAAAAAAUGAGUGUGAGGUUUUUUUCUACCCAAUUCAGUUUAAUUCCCAACAUAACUUUUUAGGUAGGACAGACUCAGGUAUUUUUCCAUGUCACAUUUCUUUAUAUUUUUGCAUCAUUUGAAACAUUUUUUACCUAUUUAGUUUAGAACUUCUCAAAAUCAUCUGCUGUGUAAAUCAAAAGUAAACAGCUCGUCUAAAGAACAUUUUCCAAGAAACCAGGAACUUAAAAAAAAAGAAAAACUGUAAGAUUGACAAUUUGCUGGACAAAUUUCCUUUUCCCGCCCACAAGUCCAAAGAAUGCAUUCACUGAGGCAUCUAUAUAUUUUAUGAAAUGCUUAACCAAGUUAUGUUGGUUCAAAAAGAAAACAGAAGAAUAAAAACACAUUUCAUGUGACAUUGAAAAUGAUAAGCAUAUAACAGCAAUUUGAAUAAUGAGUUGAUUACAAUAAAGAAUUAGCACCAUUUAGGUUUCCAAUAAGUAUGAAGUAGGUUGAAGCCUGAUGUAUUGAUUUUUUAAGUUUUACUUGGAUGUAGGGAAACUCAAAAUGGAUAGGGAAAGAGACAUGAACUUGAUUCCAUCUGUCUGUCUGUCUGUCUGUUUCUGUCUGUCUCACCAUUGCUUCUCCAAGUUUUCUUUUGAUACUUGAUUUCAAGGUAAGCAGAUCAGAGAUAACUAUUAAACUCUAACACUGUACACGUUCCAGUUUUUGACCUUUUUAAUGCAGCAAAAAGAAUCUUCUUUAAUACUUACAGAGCUUUUCAACAGCGUGGCCAUUGGCUAGUCAGGCCCUCUGUCUGAAAGGAAUGAAAUGCUUCCUUCCUGGGUGGCUGCCUAUGAGCUGGAACAGUACAUGAUGUUCAAGAUAAGAAAACGGAAGUUCCAAGCACAGAGCUUGUGUGGUUUAACCAAAUGAGAUCACCAUGGGCUCCCUCUGCUGCUGUCUUAUCCCCCGGCACUAUGAGAAGAGCAUUCUCCCAUGAGAUCCUGGACCUCUGACCUUUGAGAGAGUUACACACACCAUAACCCAGAGCAGGUAGGCUGUCGAGAAUGAGCCUCCACCAUCAGCUCAGGAGCCUCACCUCCAAGUCAGGCUCAGCUUCAUGGGUGUGCAGUCAGACAGGACCCCAUGCCCCAUACUCAGUAAGGCCCCAUGCUUGGUUAAACCACAGCUAUCGCCAUCUUGAAAUUUUCAAAAAUUUUAUCCUUGAACUUGUGAGGUCCAAUGGGACAAAGGAGCAUGUGUGCAAGCAGAGAAGAUAUGCACAGUAAUGCACAUCCCCGGUCCCUGCUGCCCCAUUCACAUAUAGCUUUGGCAAUGCCUUUCAAGUAUAGCGUGCUGGUGGACCAACUUUGUGUGGGACUUUAAUGAGACUCAAAGUGAGCACAAGGUUAGCAUAUUAUGGAAGAAGCCAUUUGCUUCCCAAGUGUGGCAGAACGUGCAUGUCUCAAGAAGUGAAAUACAAACAACUGAGUCUUGUGAAGUGUUUCCACUGUUCUGGUAAGAAUUAAAUUAAUAUGCAUGUACAUACUAUGAUGGACAGUGAGGCCUGGCAUGCUGCGAUUCAUGGGGUCACAAAGAGGCAGACACAACUGAGUGACUGAACUGAACUGAAGUGAACUGAACAUACUAUGAAAAACAAAUUGUAUAAUUUCAGUGAUUCUGCACACAAGUUAAAUGUUCUUCCAUUUGCAUUUAAAACUGGCAUUCUAAAAUAUAAAGACAGUAUAAUUCAUUCCAAUAAUUAAAAAUUUUCAUUUUUACUUACUUAAAAAGAUAUCAGAUAGCACAUGAAAAACUGUGACAAGUUGAGAGAUUGUGGAAGAAAGGAAAGCAUUCUAUAUUUUACUACUUCUAAUGCCCUUUAUUCUUGCUUUUUGAACAAAGGGCUUUGCAUUGGAAUUUUAUAUGGUAUUUAUUGGCAUUUUAUCUCUUUCCCCAUGGCCCCUGAUUCACCUCUAAAUGACCAACUUAUUUCUAUCAAGAGUGAGUCCACCCCACUUCUUUCUCUCACUGGAAAAGAUAAGAUCUUCCUCCAUUUUGCCUUAAGAAAAGAUCUGUCCUUUCAAGACCAUGGUUAAUACAUUCAGUUGAUUUCAUGCUUCAAAUUUCAUUCAUUCAACAAGUAAAUAUUUGUGUACUUGUAUAGUUAAACUUUAAAUAAGAAAAUAGUAGAUAUUCACCCAAGAGAACAGCUGCCUCUUCUACCCUGUUUGUGACACAGCAGAAAAUUCCUGCUGAAAUGAAGAGAUCUCAGUUCAAAAGAAUAAUGCUAUUGAAACUCAAGGACUGAAAUCUGGAGCAACCACCCUUCAGAAUUCUUCACCCAUACCCAGAAGCUAAUGAUUUCCAGAGAUGGCCACAGCAACGAAUUCACAGGAACAUGGGUCACUGUGUCAAGGAUCAUGUCAAAAAGACAAGGUCACCAGUUCCAAAUAUUUUAGGGGUGAAAAGGUCUUUCUUAUAAAUACCGUAUCCUUCACAUUCAGCACACCACGGUACGUGCUUUGUCAUAAUAUGGUGGGUCACCAGCUGUCACCAGCGGAGCCUCCAUCCUAGUGAAAUUCCUCAGUCUUCAGCAGCCAGGUGUCACUCUUAUCUCUUGGUUGAUAGCUUCUUCCAAGAGUGGACAAAGUUAGCUUUUUGUCUCUAGAAUCUGCAAAGUCAGUGGUUCACAAAAUAUGGUCCAGGGACCCCUGAGGGUUCUGGAGACUCUACCAAGGCAUUCAUUCAGUUGAAAUUAUUUUCGUAAUAAUAUCAAAAUGUUACUUGCCUUUUUCACUUUUACUUAGCUGACAGUUGAGUUUUCUGAAGGCUAUAAUCAUUGUUCCUGGUGGCUCAGACAGG